GGGGCCCCCCAUUGGGCGCUGCUCCCGAAGUAGGGACUUUCUGAGUGGAUGGGUUCGGAGUUGGGGUUGGAGGGCCAGAGGAAUACCCACGGAGGUAGUCGUGCUCGACAACUAUGGACACCGGCUCGGCCUUGAGAAACGAGGUACCGAGAGAGGAGAAGGACGGAGCGCCCGGCUGGAAAAUGGAGAAGGAGGGUUACAUCACGCCAAGAACUAUAAACAAAUGGGCCCAAAACACAGCCGGCUAAUACACGCUGACCUGCCGCUGCUUAUAAACAGCUCCGGGGGACUGUGGAUACUGUCUUUUACACGUUUGCUCUGUCAGCAGGGCCCUACAUGUCAGAAUUAUUUAUCUUCUUACGGUGACUAAUAACUGGGUGCUGACUAAGACUUUUCUCUAUAGACUAUGUUGACACUCAAACUUUCUGCUCAUAUUUAUGUUGUGACAUCAUUUUUAAUUGAAACUCAUUAUCUA